ensembl:lncRNA
CUCGACGGGUUCCAAAUACCCCGAGUGCGUGUAUCUGUUAUUCUGGAGUCAUUUGGUAAUUUCAAAAUGUUUAUUUUAAUUUUAUUUCACUUCUGGAUGGCCCCAAAAUGAAACCUAUUCAACUUUUGACCUCAGGGUGUGAGGGGGCGCUAGCGCACCAUCUUUAUCUAUUUCCUCACACGAGCAAGAGUCACGUGUGCACACAGCCAAGCAGACACGGACUGUAAACACGAGUGAGAGAGAAGAAGAUAGUUUUAUACCGGAGAGGAACGUCUGAGCAGAAGGUUUGCAAUGUUAAACUAGCAAAGCUCUUAUGUCUCACUUAUUGGGCCUGAUGUUAGUCACUGAUGUUCGUGUGUGUGAGCCACGGCAGACUCCACUUCCUCCUGUGCCAUGCUAUUGUUAGCUUCUCAAACACGGGAGCUCUCUGAAUAGAUACUUUGAAACCAUCAGCCACUGGAAAGUGAUGAAGAUGCCAGAAAAACAAAUGAGCUGAGAGUAGAAACUUCAACAAUAAGCCAUGAUAGUGAUGAAGAUGACAGCCAAACAGAAGAGCAGAGAGCAGAAACUUUUAAUGAAGCACAGAGCUCUCAGAGCAAUGAUGACGCUGGCAGCCAAACAGAAGUGCAAAGAGCAGACCUUUCCACAUUGGAACAGAAAGAACUUCAGCAUAUUGCUCACCUGUGGAACACCCACAUCAUUCAGAGAAGCAGAAAUGCAGUUGCACCUAGUGGCCGGCCUCACAUGAUGUACAUGCUUCCUCAGCUUUUUGGGGAAAGGACCAUCUCAAACAUGCAUCUGUGCAAGCAGUACAAACAUGCAGAGCACAAUGCAUACAACGAGGACCUUACCCAUGUGAUGAGACUGCCAUCCACUGGAAGGAUAAGGUGAACACAGACAACUUCCUUCAUCUCCCAUCCACAAUUGAACUGUAUCUAUUUUUAAGAACUUGCAUACGUAAAGAUUAGUGAAAUAAGCUAUCCUGGCUCGUAAAGCACCACCUGCAUUAAUAUUUUUUUAUUCAUAUUGUCCACAGCCCCCCCCACCAGCAUCCUGGGCUGACAGGAGACUCCCACGCCAAACCCAACGGGAGAGCAGGCGCAGGGCGAAGGCGGAGGAGGAGGGGAGGACGAGACAGGGGACAGAGAGCAAGAGGAAAGAGUGGCAGAGAAACAUGCAGGCCCCCAGCCCCAAGGGCCACCCAGACGUGCACGGAGGAGGCAGGAGAGUAACACCAAACCACCCAGGGACCACGAGAGCACCCGAAAGGGACGCACGCCCGCGCAGAGGCACCCAACACACCCCAGCAAGCCACCCAGGUCAAGGCCACCCCACAAGCCCAUGGAGGUCCAGGACUACAGUUAGAUCAGUGUGUUAGUAAAGAGUGGUGCUGGCAGUCGCUUGCAGGCUAGAUCAUCAGGCUAAAAACGAAAAAUCAAGAUUCAAUGCAAUUAGACCUGUAUAUAUUGUUGAAACAACAACAAAAAGAGGCUUUAAAACUGUAAGUCUGUACCGUACUACACAAUGUUUUCAUCUGGUGGCUCUGUUUAGGGAAAAAGAACUACGCUUGUCACGCUAUUGUCGUCAGGUCCGCUCAUCGUUUGAGUGGUUUGCGUGUUUGUCCCGCUCCGCUCAGCCACCAGAACUCAAUCGUCUGGUGAGCACUUCCAGAUUAAUCACCUUUAUGAAAAAUACAAGGAGAUUAAGAUAGAUUCCAGGCUAGCCCACUCAUGUCUUUUGCACCAAGGCGAGGCAAAUUUAUUUGUAUAGCGCAUUUCAUACACAAGGCAACUCAAUGUGCUUUACAUGAUCAAAAAGUGCAACAGGAAACAUUCAACAGCUUAAAAUCAAUAAGAACAUUAAAGUCGGCAAAAAAUAAAAAUAAUCAAUAAACACA